rnacentral:lncRNA from 1 species
GAAUGUGAAAUGCACGGACGUGGGCCUUCUGUCAAUCAGCUCCCUGCCAUGGAGACCUGACAGAGUCUCAUUCAUGGCUGCCACAACAGAGAGACUGAGAAAAAGAUGCAACCAUGAAAAGGUGAAAAGGUGGUAAGUUCUAAUGACAUAGAAAAUAGCAAUCAGCCUUUCUUAUGUCUGAAAGCCUUCCAAAAUAUCUGAGUGCAGUAGAGAUUUGACAGAGGACUGAUCACCAUCCUAGAAACAUGGUGAGAGGGAAAAAAAAAACUGCAAGAAUAUAAUCAUCUCCCAUCAAUUUCCCAAGAGGAAUAAUGUAGUACUUGAAGAAACAAUUAUAGAGUACCUCAUGCUACAUGCCUCUUCCUGAGGCUCCCCCAUGUAAAAUAACAUCACCUUCAUUCCUUCUUUACUUUUCUUUCCAUGACAGCUCCUUCAGGAAUAGGACGUCUUCCUCUCCUUAAUCCAAUAUAGCAGCCGUGAAGUCAUUUCUGUAUUUCAGGAAGACUGGCAGACAGUUGCUUUGAUUCUUCCUCAAACUACUUACAAUCACCUACAGUCCAAAAUUGCUUUUUCUUCAAGGAGAUUUAUGGAAA